rnacentral:tRNA from 1 species
CGGGGUAUAGCGCAGUCUGGUAGCGCGCCUGCUUUGGGAGCAGGAUGUCGGGAGUUCGAAUCUCUCCACCCCGACCA